UACAGAUGGCAAAUCUACAGUGGAUAAGAAAUUAGAUAUUUGAUAUGAUAAUUCUUUUGCCAUCCUCUUAAAUUAUAGAGGUGAUCUUGGAGUGAGCGUUCAUGUCCCUCAACCUGCUCGUGAACAGCGCGCCUACUUUAUUUCCCUCUGUGUAUUCCCUAGCUUUUGGUUUAUGCAAAGUGUAGGAGAGGUCAUUGUUGAG